ACGGGGGUGGCAAGCGUUACUCGGAAUUAUUGGGUGUAAAGGGCAGGUAGGUGGCUCUAUAAGUGAGGGGUGAAAUCCUGCGGUUUAAUCGCAGAACAGCCUUUCAAACUGUAGAGCUUGAGUGUGACAGAGGAAGAUGGAAUUCCUGGUGUGAGGGUUAAUUCUUUAGAUAUCAGGAAGAACACCAAAGGCGAAGGCAAUCUUCUGAGUCACUUCUGACACUGAGCUGCGUAAGCUAGUGGAGCAAACAG
rnacentral:rRNA from 1 species